GAGAGUUAGUUUUUCAACCAAUGUGGGAUCAGCGCGAACUGAUGAAAGUUUUAGAAUUAGGAGAGAUGGGGAACAUCAUAGAUUAGAGUAUAGGGAGAAAGAAAUUAUAUUAGAAUCUACAAAUUUUAAUAUGGUUUCACAAUUUCCUUUGGAACCAAUGCAUUUAGUAGACUUAGGUGUAAUGAAAAAAUUAUUAAAAUUGCUUAUUUCUAAAGGAAAUAUUUCCGUAAUGUAAUGUAAUGUAAUAAUUUCCGAAUAGUGCGUGACUUUAAUGAAAUAAGCAAUUGGAAAUCAACAGAGUUCCUACAAUUUUUGCUAUAUACAGGUAUAUUUGUUUAAAAAGACUGCAUUGAUGAAUGCCUGUACUAUCAUUUUCUUUUGCUUCAUGUCGGAAUUCGACUUAUUUCAUAUGAGCAGUCAGAAGAACACCAAUUAAAUGUAGCUGACAAAAUUUUGCAAGAAUUUGUUAAUUUGUUUUCAAGUAUACACGGCGAACACCUAAUCAGUUUUAAUGUACACGGCUUAUUACAUUUAACUGACUGCGUAACACGGUUUGGCGCGAUUGAUAAUUUCUCCGCAUAUAAGUUUGAGAAUUAUAUGCAAACAUUGAAGAAAAUGAUAAAAAAGCCGUAUAAAGUAGUGCAGCAAUUAAAAAAUAGAUAUUAUGAGAGAAAGAAUAUGUAUGCAGCUUCUAGUAAAGUUUCAAAAUUUGGGGUAUUUUCGUUAGAUUUUAAAAAAGAUAAGGAUAGCUUUUGUUAUUCAGAGAAAACAGGGCCGAUAAAACUCAUUGGCGAAAAAAUUGAGGGCGAUGUUUUUAUAGGCCUUCUUUUUUCUGAGACUUAAGAUUAUUUUCAGGAGCCAAUUGCUUCUGCAGAUUUAGGCAUACUUGUAGGUAAAGUUUCAGAAAAUGAGGUAGUUUUAAGUAGGUUAGAUAUUAAAUAUAAGUAUUUUUCCAUACCUAUAGAUGAUAAAAUUCUUUUAGUUCCACUCAUUCAUCACCUUUUUUAUGAUUUUUCAUAGAAUGAAUUUCGAUUACCUCGUAGAAGAAAUCGAUUCCGAAGUGGAAUGCUCACAACCUUUGGGCCCCUAAAGAGAUAAAGUGUUUAAAACAAAUUCUUACAAUCUCGUUUGCGCUCCUCCAGCAGAACCAUCAGAAAUUGUGGUACCGUCACCAUCGUCUGGCGGCCAUGCAGAUAUAAUCCAGAAGCAGGAUGCAAUUGAGACCCAUCUCACUGCCAUUGAGAAGUCCCUAACAGACAAAAUUCCAGAGAAGACCGAGGUGCAGGCGCAAAGUAAAAUUAUUGCGCGAAUGCCGCGUCAUAGCGGCAAAGACGCACCAUUUAAUUAGCCGCAUCACCGGUGAUUAGGAGGACGAGCAUUAUGUGGAGCUCGCUUCGAAACUGCCCAUGUCAUCGGAAGAGCACGUGCGCUUCGUGGAAGACAAACUUUCCCAAAAGGAAAGCACGGAUGCUAUGAUGCUAAUAUUGAAAUAAAUGGGCGCAAAAGGCAGUGUGGACGGCGUACUGCGUGGUUUGUUUUCAGACGAUGUAAUGUACCAUUACAAUCUAGAGGGACGCAAGGAGAAGAAAUCCCUACUAAAACUAAAAUACGUAGGGUUAGUUUUUGGUAGGUUUUUUUACUGGUAUAUAUUUGAAUGCCUUAACUUAUUACGUUUAAGUUUAGAUAUAUUUCCUGACAAGGAUAAAAACAGUAUAUAUAAACUAAGGGCUAAAUUAAUAUAAGUUUUAUUAUUAUUACUUAUAUAUAUUAGUUUUAAGUUGUACAUAUUAGUUUUAAGUUGUAUAUAUUAGUUCUAAGUUGAAGUGUCUAAUUUUACUUUUAAAAAUAUGAAUUUUUACAAUUAUAAUUUUUAUACUCAAAUAACUUGUAUAUAAUUUUU